GCAAACUUGGUCAUUUAGAGGAAGUAAAAGUCGUAACAAGGUUUCCGUAGGUGAACCUGCGGAAGGAUCAUUAUCAGGCGUCCACGUGUGGACUGCGCUUUGUGCUGUGUGAGGUGUGUGUGAGGUGUGCAUGUUUCUUGGCUGCUGUCGCAACAGUGGCCAAGAGGCUGCGUGCGCCUCCCUUUUUAUUCUCUUUUUUUUACACUUCUGAUUAUUUUGCAAAAAAACCAUAAAACUGCCAGCAAUGGAUCCCUCGGUUCUCGCAUCGAUGAAGAACGCAGC
rnacentral:misc_RNA from 1 species